UUUUUUUGUCUCCCAUGCAAUGUUCCCUAACAGUGGCAUCGUGACCUAGGUUCAUGCGUAGAUGAUAUCUUGAGUAGAACACAAAAGAGUUUUUGGGUCUUGAUGUUCAAUUUUCUGCCCUCCUUAGUCUUUUCUUGAUUCAGCGGUAUUGUUGGAUUGAAGCAGCCCACACCAACAUUACUCGUACGCUUACGAGAGACCUGUUCCAUCGACUAACAUGCAAGUUGUUGCAUAAACCUGACCGGCGGGUGUCUGCUUCUUCAACUUUAGUUGAAUCAGAUUUGACCGAGAUGGUCCUUGGAAAAGUUCAAAUAGCAAUUUGCAUAUCACCUAUGUACCUUUGUGUAAGUAAGAUGCGAUCAUACCAGAUACCCAUACCAGCCACGUAAAAUUUGCAACAAAAAUUAGAGGACGUCUAACUUGUUUUUGCAGGGCAUUCAUGUGAUGUGAUAUAGACAAAGACAUGAUAUGAUAUAUUGGAUGGAUGAGAUGAUCAUCUUAUAAUAGUUAAAAUAUCGCUUGC
rnacentral:lncRNA from 1 species